CAAGAAGCCGAAAGGCUACUUGAAACCAUCGCGAACUUAUCCAAGUUGCCUUCGGCGGCGCGGCUCCCCUCACGGGGGACCGCAGCCCCCGCCCUCUCAGGAGGUAAGGGGCAGCCGCCGGAGGUACGAAACUCUGUAUUAUAGUGGUAUCUCUGAGUAUAAAACAAAUAAGUUAA
rnacentral:misc_RNA from 1 species